UUUUUUUUAUGAAAAACAAUCAAUUUGAAACUACAGGAUAAUUUAUUUUUUGCCAAAAACUUGAGACAAGACAUAUGAUAAGAAAAACAAAAACAAGAAGGUGCAAUAGUUGGUGCAGGUCUAUCAUGGCCACUUCCAGAAGGGGUGAAACAUUGGCAUGACAGCAAAGUUCAUGGUGCCAUUGCUGCAAUGAAAGCCAUUUCUCUCACCACAGGCAAAGAAAUGUGGCUGCCACUUCCUCAACACAAACUUGAACCCCUCUCCUCCACCUUGCAUGGGACUUGACAACAUCUUAGCCUUUUUUAUGUCACAUUUCAAGAAGCUCCCAUAACUCUUGAACAUGUACACACUGUGUGGGAAACUUGUGGCAUUUGGAGCAUCAUAUUUGAAAACUGCAUCACAAAUU
rnacentral:lncRNA from 1 species